UGCGGUCCGGCUAUGGCCGAGGGCUUCUGAAAAUGCUCCUCUGCAGCCCAGCUGUGCCUAUUCAUCAUCUUCUGCUUCAUGGCCUUACUGGAACAGGAAGAAACAAAGGAAAAAAUAGCCCAUCAGAACUCAUCUCUGGCAGCAGACAGUCUCUCCUGAACUGCUACAGCGGCUUUCAUCUCUCUACGAACACUGUGCCACUGCUGGGGGAAGAGAUGGUGUUAGAGAACAGAAAAAAAAUAAAAUUACACACACAACUGUGCUCAACGGUGCCAAAUCUGACUCUCCCAUUGCUGGUUAAAGAGGCAAAGUUUCUCAGGCUUCCCUGUAAGGUCACAGCUGGUACUUCUAUGAAUUUUCUUAUUACAUGGGAACGAGGCAGAGGUUCAUAGAGAGAGACAGAUGGCGAGGAGCAAUGUUACUUAUCCUAAUGUGCAUGUGAGACAAAGAGCUUUUUGGCAUACCUCUCAAGCUGAGUCUUAGGGCAGCCGAUCCACGCCAAACGUUUUCCUCCCUCCAGUUUUUAUUCCUCCCCUCAGCCAGUCUGAUCCCACUUGCCUUCAGCGUUUACGUGAAUCACACUAGAUGUUUUCCUGAGAUUUAGGCUCUGAUGAGCAAGGCCAGCAAAAACUAGAGCAACAAACAAACAAGCCGACCCCAGCCAAGCUUGCCCACCUCUGCACAUUUGCAUCCACGUAGGGCACCCCUCCGCCUACCGAACUGCCGCAAGGAGGAAAGUGAGCGUGGUGGCAAGUGGGAACGGGCAGCCCCAGGGAGAAAGAUUUGGGAUUCAGGUUGUAGACGUACUUAUUAAUCACAUUGAAAAUACAAAUUGUGGCUGGGAUUUUCAGGUGGGAAGGGUAAGGGAUCUUCGUGUUGGAGGGAGUGGGGAUAGUAAUUAUGGCUCAAGCCAGGACUUCAACUGUGGGAACAGGGAACAGGCAAGAGAAGGCAAAAAUGUAGUUUGCAUAUUGGCUGGAGUAUAGCUUAAAAUAUGAGGGAAGGGCAGACUUUGAUCUCUGUGGUACAAGGCUAUCAAUGGGAGAACCUCACUCAUUCUAGCUGAAUUUUUCUUGGUCUUCAGCAGCAACGGAGAAUAGAAUCUGUGCCUGAGCCCAACCUCCUUAUCCUGCUGCAGAGUCAAAAUUCAGAUAGCCCUUCCACUGCCAUCAUUGUGGAAAUGCAUCUGGACUUAACACUAAAAUCAUGUGAGCACGAUCUCCUUCCAGGAAAGCUCUCUCGGAACCAGAGGCCAUACUUUCAGAAAACAAGACAAUAUGUGGCUCCAUCACACGGCAGUGGCUCAUUCAGACCACCUGCCAGGGAGUCAAGCUCUUUGUUCAGGCAGAUAGCUAUUUGUAACCAGGCUGGCUGUGGGGAAAGCCGUGCUAC
rnacentral:lncRNA from 1 species